rnacentral:lncRNA from 1 species
CAAAUUAAAUUUAUCGAGCAAGUACCAGACUCCAAGAUUCUUUAAUUUUAUUUGUAUCGAGAUUUAACUGACCCAAUUAGCCUCUAAUGAAACUGAAGACGAGUGGAUGCGGGUGAAUGCGCGCGCGCAUGCUUGCAGGAUAUCCGCGGAUGCAGGAGGCAGCCGGCUGGGAGGAUGACGGCGAGCGCGCAAGAGCGAGAAGUCGGUAACUUAACUGGCCUAAAUGGGUUUAACUCGAUGUGAUUUUGCUGGCGAACCACUAAAUUGAACGAAUACGAACUAAACUGAACUCAACUAAGCUAAUCAUAUCACAUUACUAGCGUUAUUAGCCGAGAGACGAUAUAAGUGAAGGUCCGGUGGUACCAGGCUGCAGUAACGGGUCGCCUCCUGCACUGACCCUCUGUACGACUUUCUUUUCGACCUCUUUUUCUCGAUCAUGAUGUUCGCGUCUUGUAUCUAUCCGAUCUUUGAAUCACGGAAAUGUGUUUACGGUCAAGUUUUACCGCAGUCGGUUCCGAAACAACUUUUAGGUUAGUUCUUGUAAAAGUUGGAUGCAAGUUGAAGUUUCUCGAAGGAAAUGGACAAUUCUUGAUGCACACGAGGUCUGGGAAACGAUGUUGGCCGAUCCUGGCCGAACAGAAACGCUACCAUGGUCGUGAAACAGGAAACACGUGCUCUGAGUGAAAGUGACAGAUCACCGCGCGCCAAAUUCGAAAUAAAGAUCAAAGAAUCGUAUACGAUUUUCGAUUUAUAGUGUCAUUCGUGAGAAUAAAACAAUGUAACAUUUUAAAGAAUGUGCGAUGGAAAGAAUUUUUUUCUUAUUGAGAAUUCUAUAUAGUGAAAUAUAUGGUGAAUAAGUGAUAUAGUUUAUCUUCAAAAGGAAUUUGAUUUGUUUUUCUGAUUCGGAAAUCGUGAUUCAAAGGAGAAAAUGUAACAUCGCAGCCCGAUGACGUCGCAUCCUUAUUAACCCGACGUAGUCACAUCCGUCACCAUCCCGUUCUGUAUUCACGUGCAGGGUGUUUCUCGUAAUGAUAUCUUCAUUUAUGUAUUGAAACUACCUUAUAUAAAUUACUUAUAAAAUUAUGUAUUUCAUAAGUAAAAUUUUCUAAUAUAAUCGUACAUAU